rnacentral:rRNA from 1 species
GUAGGUGGCAAGCGUUGUCCGGGAAUUAUUGGGGCGUAAAGCGCGCGCAGGCGGUUCUUUAAGUCUGAUGUGAAAGCCCACGGGCUCAACCGUGGAGGGUCAUUGGAAACUGGAGAACUUGAGUACAGAAGAGGAAAGCGGAAUUCCACGUGUAGCGGUGAAAUGCGUAGAGAUGUGGAGGAACACCAGUGGCGAAGGCGGCUUUCUGGUCUGUAACUGACGCUGAGGCGCGAAAGCGUGGGGAGCAAACAGGAUUAGAUACCCUGGCAGUCCACGCCGUAAACGAUGAGUGCUAAGUGUUAGGGGGUUUCCGCCCCUUAGUGCUGCAGCUAACGCAUUAAGCACUCCGCCUGGGGAGUACGGCCGCAAAGGCUG